AUUGAACGCUGGCGGCAGGCCUAACACAUGCAAGUCGAGCGGAUGAAGGGAGCUUGCUCCUGGAUUCAGCGGCGGACGGGUGAGUAAUGCCUAGGAAUCUGCCUGGUAGUGGGGGAUAACGUCCGGAAACGGGCGCUAAUACCGCAUACGUCCUGAGGGAGAAAGUGGGGGAUCUUCGGACCUCACGCUAUCAGAUGAGCCUAGGUCGGAUUAGCUAGUUGGUGGGGUAAAGGCCUACCAAGGCGACGAUCCGUAACUGGUCUGAGAGGAUGAUCAGUCACACUGGAACUGAGACACGGUCCAGACUCCUACGGGAGGCAGCAGUGGGGAAUAUUGGACAAUGGGCGAAAGCCUGAUCCAGCCAUGCCGCGUGUGUGAAGAAGGUCUGCGGAUUGUAAAGCACUUUAAGUUGGGAGGAAGGGCAGUAAGUUAAUACCUUGCUGUUUUGACGUUAUCAACAGAAUAAGCACCGGCUAACUUCGG
rnacentral:rRNA from 1 species